GAGACCGCUCGUGCCACAGGUAUUGCCUCUGGUGCUUAGUGCUGGCGUAUAUAAGACGCACGGGAAAAGGAUCGGCGCUGGCUAUCUACCGAACGGACCGUACACACACAUGAUGCAGCCGUUGCUGAUGCUCAGCUUUUGCGUGGCGUGCGCCGUGGCGUCGCUACCCCCACCCCCGGUUCUCCCGAGCCUCUCCUCUAACACAUAUGAAAAUCCCGCUGCAAGGAGAAUAGAGGCUCGCUUCAGAGAUCUGGCACGACCGGGAGGAAGCAGGGCCUACUUUCGCCCACCUGCGAACGUGUACCGUGGACCGCGAGCGCAUCCCACGCCCAUCGUCGCUCCGGUCUCUGCUGUGACGAACGUGAAAUACUCCAAGCCAACGCAACCCUACGAUAGACCGCCGCUGGGCGGACCGCCCCCUGGCUACAAGAGAAGCGGGAAACACUACGAGCUCGUUCCAGUUCACGAACACGAGAUGUGGAAGCCCUCGAGCUAUUCCUCAAGUCCAUCACCUGCCACCUAAAGACGGCCAAGCAUCAAGUAC
rnacentral:lncRNA from 1 species